rnacentral:rRNA from 1 species
AUACGGAGGAUCCGAGCGUUAUCCGGAUUUAUUGGGUUUAAAGGGUGCGCAGGCGGCCAUUUAAGUCAGCGGUUAAAUCGUGGGGCUCAACCCCAUUCUGCCGUUGAUACUGGGUGGCUUGAUUGCGGUCGAGGUUGGCGGAAUUCGUUGUGUAGCGGUGAAAUGCAUAGAUAUGACGAAGAACACCGAUUGCGUAGGCAGCAGACCAGACCGCAAAUGACGCUCAUGCACGAAAGUGCGGGGAUCGAACAGUAUUAGAUACCCUGGUAGUCCGCACAGUAAGCGAUGAAUACUUGUUUUCGGCGAUAUAAUGUCGGAGGCAAAGCGAAAGCGAUAAGUAUUCCACCUGGGGAGUACGCCGGCAACGGUGAAACUCAAAUGAAUUGACGGGG